AGAGUUUGAUCCUGGCUCAGGAUGAACGCUAGCGACAGGCCUAACACAUGCAAGCCGCGGGGUAGCAGGGGACUUCGGUUCCGCUGACGACCGGCGAACGGGUGCGUAACGCGUAUGCAACCUACCUACAACAGGGAGAUAGCCCGUGGAAACAUGGAUUAAUAUCCCAUAAAGCAGGGGCCCCGCAUGGGGAUAUUUGCUAAAGCUACGGCGGUUGUAGAUGGGCAUGCGUCUGAUUAGUUAGUUGGUGAGGUAACGGCUCACCAAGGCAACGAUCAGUAGGGGUCCUGAGAGGGUUUCCCCCCACACUGGUACUGAGACACGGACCAGACUCCUACGGGAGGCAGCAGUGAGGAAUAUUGGUCAAUGGGUGAGAGCCUGAACCAGCCAUGUCGCGUGCAGGACUACGGCCCUAUGGGUUGUAAACUGCUUUUAUACGGGAAGAACCCCCCCGACGUGUCGGGGUCUGCCUGUACCGUACGAAUAAGCAUCGGCUAACUCCGUGCCAGCAGCCGCGAUAAUACGGAGGAUGCGAGCGUUAUCCGGAUUUAUUGGGUUUAAAGGGUGCGUAGGCUGCCCCUUAAGUCAGUGGUGAAAUCCCGGGGCUUAACUCCGGAACUGCCAUUGAAACUGGGGGGCUUGAGUUUAGACGAGGCAGGCGGAAUGUGUCAUGUAGCGGUGAAAUGCUUAGAUAUGACACAGAACACCGAUUGCGAAGGCAGCUUGCUAGGCUAUAACUGACGCUGAUGCACGAAAGCGUGGGGAGCGAACAGGAUUAGAUACCCUGGUAGUCCACGCCGUAAACGAUGAUCACUCGCUGUGGGCGACAUAUUGUCCGUGGCCAAGCGAAAGUAAUAAGUGAUCCACCUGGGGAGUACGUCGGCAACGAUGAAACUCAAAGGAAUUGACGGGGGCCCGCACAAGCGGUGGAACAUGUGGUUUAAUUCGAUGAUACGCGAGGAACCUUACCUGGGCUUAAAUGGAGGAGGCUUUUUCCCGAAAGGGGAUUUUCUUCGGACCUCCUUCAAGGUGCUGCAUGGUUGUCGUCAGCUCGUGCCGUGAGGUGUCGGGUUAAGUCCCGCAACGAGCGCAACCCUCACCCUUAGUUGCCAUCAGUUCGGCUGGGCACUCUAGGGGAACUGCCGGUGAUAAGCCGGAGGAAGGUGAGGAUGACGUCAAGUCCUCAUGGCCCUUAUGGGCUGGGCUACACACGUGCUACAAUGGCGGUGACAGAGGGUAGCGAGGGUGCGAGCCUGAGCAAAUCUCCAAAAACCGUCUCAGUCCGGAUUGUUCUCUGCAACUCGAGAGCAUGAAGUCGGAAUCGCUAGUAAUCGCGGAUCAGCAUGCCGCGGUGAAUACGUUCCCGGGCCUUGUACACACCGCCCGUCACACCAUGGGAGUUGGCUUUACCCGAAGCUGGUGAGCGAACCUUUGGACGCAGCCAACCACGGUAAGGUCAGCGACUGGGGUGAAGUCGUAACAAGGUAGCCGUAG
rnacentral:rRNA from 1 species